rnacentral:rRNA from 1 species
CUCCAGUUGAUCGCAUGGUCUUCUGGGAAAGCUUUCGCGGUAUGGGAUGGGGUCGCGUCCUAUCAGCUUGACGGCGGGGUAACGGCCCACCGUGGCUUCGACGGGUAGCCGGCCUGAGAGGGCGACCGGCCACAUUGGGUCUGAGAUACGGCCCAGACUCCUACGGGAGGCAGCAGUGGGGAAUAUUGCACAAUGGGCGCAAGCCUGAUGCAGCGACGCCGCGUGAGGGAUGGAGGCCUUCGGGUUGUAAACCUCUUUUAUCGGGGAGCAAGCGAGAGUGAGUUUACCCGUUGAAUAAGCACCGGCUAACUACGUGCCAGCAGCCGCGGUAAUACGUAGGGUGCAAGCGUUAUCCGGAAUUAUUGGGCGUAAAGGGCUCGUAGGCGGUUCGUCGCGUCCGGUGUGAAAGUCCAUCGCUUAACGGUGGAUCCGCGCCGGGUACGGGCGG